AUUGAACGCUGGCGGCAGGCUUAACACAUGCAAGUCGAGCGGAAACGAUGAAAAGCUUGCUUUUCAGGCGUCGAGCGGCGGACGGGUGAGUAAUGCUUGGGAAUAUGCCUUUGAGUGGGGGACAACAGUUGGAAACGACUGCUAAUACCGCAUAAUGUCUACGGACCAAAGGGGGGGCUUCUUCGGAACCUCUCGCUCAUUGAUUAGCCCAAGUGAGAUUAGCUAGUUGGUAAGGUAAUGGCUUACCAAGGCGACGAUCUCUAGCUGGUUUGAGAGGAUGAUCAGCCACACUGGGACUGAGACACGGCCCAG
rnacentral:rRNA from 1 species